UACGAAGGGGGCUAGCGUUGCUCGGAAUCACUGGGCGUAAAGGGUGCGUAGGCGGGUCUUUAAGUCAGGGGUGAAAUCCUGGAGCUCAACUCCAGAACUGCCUUUGAUACUGAGGAUCUUGAGUCCGGGAGAGGUGAGUGGAACUGCGAGUGUAGAGGUGAAAUUCGUAGAUAUUCGCAAGAACACCAGUGGCGAAGGCGGCUCACUGGCCCGGAACUGACGCUGAGGUGCGAAAGCGUGGGGAGCAAACAGG
rnacentral:rRNA from 1 species